rnacentral:rRNA from 1 species
CACGUAGGGGGCAAGCGUUGUCCGGAUUUAUUGGGCGUAAAGAGCUCGUAGGCGGCUUAGUAAGUCGGGUGUGAAACCUCCAGGCUCAACCUGGAGACGCCACCCGAUACUGCUGUGGCUAGAGUCCGGUAGGGGAGCGUGGAAUUCCUGGUGUAGCGGUGAAAUGCGCAGAUAUCAGGAGGAACACCGGUGGCGAAGGCGGUUCUCUGGGCAUUACCUGACGCUGAGGAGCGAAAGUGUGGGGAGCGAACAGG